UAACGAAUAUUGGGCAAUGGGCGCAAGCCUGACCCAGCAAUGCCGCGUGCAGGAGGAAGCCCCUCGGGGUGUAAACUGCUGUCAGGGUCUAGUAAGCAAGGCAGGUGAAUAAUCUGUUGCGUUGAACAGACCCAAAGGAAGCCUCGGCUAACUCUGUGCCAGCAGCCGCGGUAAGACAGAGGAGGCAAGCGUUGAUCGGAAUUAUUGGGCUUAAAGCGCGUGUAGGCGGCUGCGCAAGUGUCUUGUGAAAUUCCAGGGCUCAACCCUGGAACUGCUGGGCAAACUGCGUAGCUUGAGGUCGGUAGAGGUGUCUGGAACUCUUGGUGGAGCGGUGAAAUGUGUAGAUAUCAAGAGGAAUGCCCGAGGCGAAAGCGGGGCACUGGGCCGAAUCUGACGCUGAGACGCGAAAGCGUGGGGAUCAAACAGGAUUAGAUACCCCCGUAGUCC
rnacentral:rRNA from 1 species